rnacentral:rRNA from 1 species
AACGAACGCUGGCGGCGUGCUUAACACAUGCAAGUCGAACGCGAAAGCCCUUCGGGGUGAUUAGAGUGGCGCACGGGUGAGUAAUGAGUAGGAACGUACCUAUUGGUGGGGAAUAACCCUGGGAAACUGGGGCUAAUACCGCAUAAGGUCGAAAGACGAAAGGAGGCCUAUCCUUGGAAGCUUCCGCCGAUAGAUCGGCCUACUUUCCAUUAGCUUGUUGGUGGGGUAAAGGCCUACCAAGGCAACGAUGGAUAGCUGGUCUGAGAGGAUGAUCAGCCACACUGGAACUGAGACACGGUCCAG